rnacentral:rRNA from 1 species
UACGUAGGGGGCAAGCGUUGUCCGGAAUUAUUGGGCGUAAAGAGCGCGUAGGCGGUCCGGUAAGUCGGUUGUGAAAGUCGGGGGCUCAACCCUCGGAUGCCGAUCGAUACUGUCGGGCUAGAGUCCGGAAGAGGCGAGUGGAAUUCCUGGUGUAGCGGUGAAAUGCGCAGAUAUCAGGAGGAACACCGGUGGCGAAGGCGGGACUCUGGGCCGAUACUGACGCUGAGGAGCGAAAGCGUGGGGAGCAAACAGG